UGCUUGGAUACAAAAUAUAGUUUAAUAAAAACGCCUCGCUUACACCGAGCUAAUGUCCGUAAACCCUGACUAUUUUGAGCCAAUAAUCUAGCCCCACUUCUACUACCGAGCCCCUCUCCUCCCCACUCAAUCACAAAAUAUUUUGACAAUCUAGUAAAGACGAUAAAAAAAUUAAUCGGAGCCAUAGACGCGUACCGCAAGGGAACAAUGAAAUAACAAUGAAAUAUUUUUAAGCACAAAAAAGUAAAGACUAACUCUUGUACCUUUCGCAUCAUGGUUUAACAAGUCUAACUAAGCAAAAUGAUUUAAAGUUUUACACCCCGAAACUACGUGAGCUACUCGAGGACAGCUUCAUGAGCAAACCCGUCUCUGUCGCAAAAGAGUGGGAAGAUCCCCGAGUAGAGGUGACAGACCUAANNNNNNNNNNNNNNNNNNNNNACUCAAGAAAAGAAUUUUAGUUCUACUGAAAAUCCCCCUAAUCAUCAAAAAUAAACCUGGGAUUUUUAUGUUACCCAAGUAAGGUACAGCUUACUUGAGACAGGAUACAACCUCUACCACUGGGUAAGCCAUUCUAUACGACAUAAAUUUGUAGGCCUAACAGCAGCCAUCCCCUACAGCGUCAAAGCUUAUUUACGUCCCAAAAAUAAUAACUUGAUUUUCCAUCGAGCCCCCCACCAGUACUGAGUAAUUUUAUGCCCGCCAUAAAAUCUUCUAUGUUAAAACUAGUAACAAGAAGCUAGCCUUCUCUAAAAUGUAUGUGUAAGUCAGACCUGCACUCAGCACUGACCAUUAACAGCCCUAUACCAAAGAAGAAACUCUUCAAGUAAAAUCUUCUGCUUACCCUGUCAACCUAACACAAGCACAUUCAAAGAAAGAUUAAAAGAAAAUGAAGGAACUCGGCAAAUCACGGCCCCGCCUGUUUACCAAAAACAUCGCCUCCUGAAAAAAUAUAAGAGGUCCAGCCUGCCCAGUGACUUGUUUAACGGCCGCGGUAUCCUAACCGUGCGAAGGUAGCGUAAUCACUUGUCUUUUAAAUAAAGACUAGUAUGAAAGGCAUCACGAGGGUCAAACUGUCUCCUUUUUCUAAUCAGUAAAACUAAUCUUCCCGUGAAGAAGCGGGAAUUUCUCUAUAAGACGAGAAGACCCUAUGGAGCUUUAAACUGUAAGUUAUUCGCCUGUUCCUACCCCAAUUUCAGAAAUUUUACACUCUGGGCCCACUAACUACACGUUUUAGGUUGGGGUGACCUAGGAGCAAAACAAACCCUCCUAGCUGACACGGGCUAAACCCUGAGAAAAAAGCCACAACUUUAACCCCCAAUAAAUUGACAUCAAUUGACCCAGUCCGCUGAGCAACGAACCAAGUUACCCUAGGGAUAACAGCGCAAUCUACUUCAAGAGUCCCUAUCGACAAGUGGGUUUACGACCUCGAUGUUGGAUCAGGGUGUCCAAGUGGUGCAGCCGCUACUAAAGGUUCGUUUGUUCAACGAUUAAAACCCU
rnacentral:rRNA from 1 species